AAAAUUUUAAGUUAAAAAAACUAUAAGCCUUCAAAGCUUAAAAUAUAUAAUCUACUUAUAAAUUUUA
rnacentral:tRNA from 1 species